rnacentral:tRNA from 1 species
GCCCGCUUGGCGAAACUGGUAGACGCAAGAGACUUAAAAUCUCUCGAUGGCAACAUCGUGCCGGUUCGAUUCCGGCAGCGGGCACCA